UUUGUUUUUUGUAUACUGGUGACAGAUGCAUUAUCUUGAGGGUGAUUGACCUCCUAACGUAAUAAAAAACAGUGUUUUUAACUAGGAAAGGUACAUUCACCUAUUCUCUGGUUUUCAAGUACAUCGACGGGAUGUUACUAUUACCCAGUUUAAAGGUACUUAUAUCGACUUUCUAUGUGAAAGAGUACUUCAUUACACUGUAGAUACAGAAUCUACAAUAGUCUCCUGAUUCAGUGAAAUCUCAC